GGCUCAGAACGAACGCUGGCGGCGCGUCUUAAGCAUGCAAGUCGAAUGGCAAGAUAAGAGCUUGCUCUUAUCCUAGAAUGGCGGACUGGUGAGUAACGCGUGGGUGACGUACCUCUUGGAUGGGGAUAGCUACUGGAAACAGUAGAUAAUACCGAAUAAGCUGCAUGGAUUUAGAGGCCAUGCAGGAAAGCAGCUUUUGCUGCACCGAGAGAGCGGCCCGCGGGCUAUUAGCUUGUUGGCGGGGUAACGGCCCACCAAGGCGACGAUGGGUAGCCGGCCUGAGAGGGUGGACGGCCACAUUGGAACUGAGACACGGUCCAGACUCCUACGGGAGGCAGCAGCUAAGAAUCUUCCGCAAUGGGCGAAAGCCUGACGGAGCCGACGCCGCGUGAACGAAGAAGGCCGUGAGGUUGUAAAGUUCUUUUCGGGAGGGGGAACAACCGUGGCAGGGAAUGGCCGCGGGAUGACGUGAAUCCCGGAAUAAGCCCCGGCUAACUACGUGCCAGCCGCCGC
rnacentral:rRNA from 1 species